ACGCUGGCGGCACGCCUAACACAUGCAAGUCGAACGAAGUAGCAAUACUUAGUGGCAGACGGGUGAGUAACAUGUAGGUAUCUGCCCUUUGGCCUGGAAUAACACGAGGAAACUUGUGCUAAUACCGGAUAAGUCUUUACGGAGAAAGCUUUAUGCACCAUUGGAUGAGCCUGCACUUGAUUAGUUUGUUGGUGGGGUAAUGGCCUACCAAGACUGUGAUCAAUAGCUGAUUUGAGAGGAUGAUCAGCCACAUUGGGACUGAGACACGGCCCAAACUCCUACGGGAGGCAGCAGUGGGGAAUCUUGCACAAUGGAGGAAACUCUGAUGCAGCGAUGCCGCGUGAGUGAAGAAGGCCCUUGGGUUGUAAAGCUCUUUCGUCGGGGAAGAAAAUGACUGUACCCGAAUAAGAAGGUCCGGCUAACUUCGUGCCAGCAGCCGCGGUAAUACGAAGGGACCUAGCGUAGUUCGGAAUUACUGGGCUUAAAGAGUUCGUAGGUGGUUGAAAAAGUUAGUGGUGAAAUCCCAGAGCUUAACUCUGGAACUGCCAUUAAAACUUUUCAGCUAGAGUAUGAUAGAGGAAAGCAGAAUUUCUAGUGUAGAGGUGAAAUUCGUAGAUAUUAGAAAGAAUACCAAUUGCGAAGGCAGCUUUCUGGAUCAUUACUGACACUGAGGAACGAAAGCAUGGGUAGCGAAGAGGAUUAGAUACCCUCGUAGUCCAUGCCGUAAACGAUGUGUGUUAGACGUUGGAAAUUUAUUUUCAGUGUCGCAGGGAAACCGAUAAACACACCGCCUGGGGAGUACGACCGCAAGGUUAAAACUCAAAUGAAUUGACGGGGACCCGCACAAGUAGUGGAGCAUGUGGUUUAAUUCGAAGAUACGCGCAGAACCUUACCAACACUUGACAUGUUCGUCGCGACUCUAAGAGAUUAGAGUUUUCGGUUCGGCCGGACGAAACACAGGUGCUGCAUGGCUGUCGUCAGCUCGUGUCGUGAGAUGUUGGGUUAAGUCCCGCAACGAGCGCAACCCUCACUUUUAGUUGCCAUCAUUAAGUUGGGCACUCUGAAAGAACUGCCAGUGAUAAGCUGGAGGAAGGUGGGGAUGACGUCAAGUCCUCAUGGCCCUUACGUGUUGGGCUACACACGUGCUACAAUGGUAUCUACAACAGGAAGCAAGACUGCGAAGUUAAGCAAAUCCCUAAAAGAUACCUCAGUUCGGAUUGCACUCUGCAACUCGAGUGCAUGAAGCUGGAAUUACUAGUAAUCGUGGAUCAGCGUGCCACGGUGAAUGCGUUCCCGGGUCUUGCACUCACCGC
rnacentral:rRNA from 1 species